GAUUCAAAGUGGUUUCCUCGAAUUAGGAAUUAGAUCUGUACUGGAUUUGGAUUUCAAUUGAUAAGCUUCGGUAGCCAAAUCGGUCAAGCUUUUAAAAUCGGUUCAUUUUGUACAGUGUUACCUCAACGAAGUACUUUUGGUGAAACGGAAGCUAAGUUUCUGCUCAAGGCUCAUGUAAUAAGCUACCUGCCAAGUAGUGAAAAGUGUAGACCAAUUAGUUCAUAAUCGAGUUUUACCCACGUGUGAAAGAGUGGGUGCACGUGUACCCAUUAACACAUGUAUAUACUUAAUUAAGGAACAUAUAAUUAAAUGUGCACUCCUAAACACAUAAGUUGAGUUGUUGCAUUGGUCCAACACUGUUCGUUGCGCUUCUUCGCAAUUCACAAGCACAUAAUUUCUUAUAGUUUAGUGAUCUUUUAUAAUAUUUAUUCGUUUAAAGUAAUGUAGG
rnacentral:misc_RNA from 1 species